rnacentral:rRNA from 1 species
CUGGCGGCGUGCCUAAUACAUGCAAGUAGAACGCUGAAGAGAGGAGCUUGCUCUUCUUGGAUGAGUUGCGAACGGGUGAGUAACGCGUAGGUAACCUGCCUUGUAGCGGGGGAUAACUAUUGGAAACGAUAGCUAAUACCGCAUAACAAUGGAUGACACAUGUCAUUUAUUUGAAAGGGGCAAUUGCUCCACUACAAGAUGGACCUGCGUUGUAUUAGCUAGUAGGUGAGGUAAUGGCUCACCUAGGCGACGAUACAUAGCCGACCUGAGAGGGUGAUCGGCCACACUGGGACUGAGACACGGCCCAGACUCCUACGGGAGGCAGCAGUAGGGAAUCUUCGGCAAUGGGGGCAACCCUGACCGAGCAACGCCGCGUGAGUGAAGAAGGUUUUCGGAUCGUAAAGCUCUGUUGUAAGUCAAGAACGGGUGUGAGAGUGGAAAGUUCACACUAUGACGGUAGCUUACCAGAAAGGGACGGCUAACUACGUGCCAGCAGCCGCGGUAAUACGUAGGUCCCGAGCGUUGUCCGGAUUUAUUGGGCGUAAAGCGAGCGCAGGCGGUUUGAUAAGUCUGAAGUUAAAGGCUGUGGCUCAACCAUAGUUCGCUUUGGAAACUGUCAAACUUGAGUGCAGAAGGGGAGAGUGGAAUUCCAUGUGUAGCGGUGAAAAUGCGUAGAUAUAUGGAGGAACACCGGUGGCGAAAGCGGCUCUCUGGUCUGUAACUGACGCUGAGGCUCGAAAGCGUGGGGAGCGAACAGGAUUAGAUACCCUGGUAGUCCACGCCGUAAACGAUGAGUGCUAGGUGUUGGAUCCUUUCCGGGAUUCAGUGCCGCAGCUAACGCAUUAAGCACUCCGCCUGGGGAGUACGACCGCAAGGUUGAAACUCAAAGGAAUUGACGGGGGCCCGCACAAGCGGUGGAGCAUGUGGUUUAAUUCGAAGCAACGCGAAGAACCUUACCAGGUCUUGACAUCCCGAUGCUAUUUCUAGAGAUAGAAAGUUACUUCGGUACAUCGGUGACAGGUGGUGCAUGGUUGUCGUCAGCUCGUGUCGUGAGAUGUUGGGUUAAGUCCCGCAACGAGCGCAACCCCUAUUGUUAGUUGCCAUCAUUCAGUUGGGCACUCUAGCGAGACUGCCGGUAAUAAACCGGAGGAAGGUGGGGAUGACGUCAAAUCAUCAUGCCCCUUAUGACCUGGGCUACACACGUGCUACAAUGGUUGGUACAACGAGUUGCGAGUCGGUGACGGCGAGCUAAUCUCUUAAAGCCAAUCUCAGUUCGGAUUGUAGGCUGCAACUCGCCUACAUGAAGUCGGAAUCGCUAGUAAUCGCGGAUCAGCACGCCGCGGUGAAUACGUUCCCGGGCCUUGUACACACCGCCCGUCACACCACGAGAGUUUGUAACACCCGAAGUCGGUGAGGUAACCUUUUGGAGCCAGCCGCCUAAGGUGGGACAGAUGAUUGGGGUGAAG